CCGAAUUCUUCCCCAACAGAGUUUGAUCCUGGCUCAGAUUGAACGCUGGCGGCAGGCCUAACACAUGCCAGUCGAGCGGAUGAUGGGAGCUUGCUCCCGGAUUCAGCGGCGGACGGGUGAGUAAUGCCUAGGAAUCUGCCUGGUAGUGGGGGACAACGUUUCGAAAGGAACGCUAAUACCGCAUACGUCCUACGGGAGAAAGCAGGGGACCUUCGGGCCUUGCGCUAUCAGAUGAGCCUAGGUCGGAUUAGCUAGUUGGUGGGGUAACGGCUCACCAAGGCGACGAUCCGUAACUGGUCUGAGAGGAUGAUCAGUCACACUGGAACUGAGACACGGUCCAGACUCCUACGGGAGGCAGCAGUGGGGAAUAUUGGACAAUGGGCGAAAGCCUGAUCCAGCCAUGCCGCGUGUGUGAAGAAGGUCUUCGGAUUGUAAAGCACUUUAAGUUGGGAGGAAGGGCAGUAAGUUAAUACCUUGCUGUUUUGACGUUACCAACAGAAUAAGCACCGGCUAACUUCGUGCCAGCAGCCGCGGUAAUACGAAGGGUGCAAGCGUUAAUCGGAAUUACUGGGCGUAAAGCGCGCGUAGGUGGUUUGGUAAGAUGGAUGUGAAAUCCCCGGGGCUCACCUGGGGACUGCAUCCA
rnacentral:rRNA from 1 species